UACGGAGGGGGCUAGCGUUGUUCGGAAUUACUGGGCGUAAAGCGCGCGUAGGCGGACCUGCAAGUCGGGGGUGAAAGCCCGAGGCUCAACCUCGGAACUGCCUUCGAUACUGCGGGUCUCGAGUCCGGGAGAGGUGAGUGGAAUUCCUAGUGUAGCAGUGAAAUGCGUAGAGAUCAUGAGGAAGACCAGUGGCGAAGGCGGGUCUCUGGACAGUUCCUGACACUGAGGCACGAAGGCCAGGGGAGCAAACGGG
rnacentral:rRNA from 1 species